rnacentral:rRNA from 1 species
AGGGAAUCUUCGGCAAUGGACGGAAGUCUGACCGAGCAACGCCGCGUGAGUGAAGAAGGUUUUCGGAUCGUAAAGCUCUGUUGUAAGAGAAGAACGAGUGUGAGAGUGGAAAGUUCACACUGUGACGGUAUCUUACCAGAAAGGGACGGCUAACUACGUGCCAGCAGCCGCGGUAAUACGUAGGUCCCGAGCGUUGUCCGGAUUUAUUGGGCGUAAAGCGAGCGCAGGCGGUUAGAUAAGUCUGAAGUUAAAGGCUGUGGCUUAACCAUAGUACGCUUUGGAAACUGUUUAACUUGAGUGCAAGAGGGGAGAGUGGAAUUCCAUGUGUAGCGGUGAAAUGCGUAGAUAUAUGGAGGAACACCGGUGGCGAAAGCGGCUCUCUGGCUCGUAACUGACGCUGAGGCUCGAAAGCGUGGGGAGCAAACAGGAUUAGAUACCCUGGUAGUCCACGCCGUAAACGAUGAGUGCUAGGUGUUAGACCCUUUCCGGGGUUUAGUGCCGUAGCUAACGCAUUAAGCACUCCGCCUGGGGAGUACGACCGCAAGGUUG